rnacentral:rRNA from 1 species
UCCGGGGCUGCACGCGCGCUACAAUGAAGGUAGCAAAGUGUUUGAAACCCAUGUCUGAAAAGACUUGGUAAUCACUAAUCAUUUUCGUGCUUGGGAUAGGGAAUUGCAAUUAUUUCCCUUGAACGAGGAAUUUCUAGUAAGCGUGAGUCAUAAGCUCACGUUGAUUACGUCCCUGCCCUUUGUACACACCGCCCGUCGCUACUACCGAUUGGAAGAUGCAGUGAAGAAUAUGGAUUCGAUCUGGUCUGGCUUAACCGCUAGGCAAGUUUUGGAGAAGUUUUCUAAACUGUGU